rnacentral:rRNA from 1 species
UACGUAGGGGCCUAGCGUUGUCCGGAUUUAUUGGGCGUAAAGAGCUCGUAGGCGGUUUGGUGAGUCGGGUGUGAAAUCUCCACGCUCAACGUGGAGGGGCCACCCGAUACUGCCAUGACUAGAGUCCGGUAGGGAGUGUGGAAUUCCCGGUGUAGCGGUGAAAUGCGCAGAUAUCGGGAGGAACACCAAUAGCGAAGGCAGCUCGCUGGGACGUUACUGACGCUGAGGCGCGAAAGCGUGGGGAGCGAACAGG